rnacentral:rRNA from 1 species
UACGUAGGGACCGAGCGUUGUCCGGAAUCAUUGGGCGUAAAGAGCGUGUAGGCGGCCACUUAAGUCCUGCGUGAAAUCUUGCGGCUCAACCGCAAGCGGUCGUGGGAAACUGGGUGGCUAGAGUGCGGGAGAGGAGAGUGGAAUUCCUGGUGUAGCGGUGAAAUGCGCAGAUAUCAGGAAGAACACCCGUGGCGAAGGCGGCUCUCUGGAACGCAACUGACGCUGAGACGCGAAAGCGUGGGGAGCAAACAGG